GAUGAACGCUGGCGGCGUGCCUAAUACAUGCAAGUCGAGCGAACAGACGAGGAGCUUGCUCCUCUGACGUUAGCGGCGGACGGGUGAGUAACACGUGGAUAACCUACCUAUAAGACUGGGAUAACUUCGGGAAACCGGAGCUAAUACCGGAUAAUAUAUUGAACCGCAUGGUUCAAUAGUUAAAUACGGUUUUUCUGUCACUUAUAGAUGGAUCCGCGCCGCAUUAGCUAGUUGGUAAGGUAACGGCUUACCAAGGCAACGAUGCGUAGCCGACCUGAGAGGGUGAUCGGCCACACUGGAACUGAGACACGGUCCAGACUCCUACGGGAGGCAGCAGUAGGGAAUCUUCCGCAAUGGGCGAAAGCCUGACGGAGCAACGCCGCGUGAGUGAUGAAGGUCUUCGGAUCGUAAAACUCUGUUAUUAGGGAAGAACAAAUGUGUAAGUAACUAUGCACGUCUUGACGGUACCUAAUCAGAAAGCCACGGCUAACUACGUG
rnacentral:rRNA from 1 species